UACAGAGGGUGCAAGCGUUGCUCGGAAUUAUUGGGCGUAAAGCGCGUGUAGGCGGCUUAGCAAGUCGGGCGUGAAAGCCCUCGGCUCAACCGAGGAAGUGCACCCGAAACUGCUGAGCUUGAGUGCCGGAGAGGAUGGCGGAAUUCCCCAAGUAGAGGUGAAAUUCGUAGAUAUGGGGAGGAACACCGGUGGCGAAGGCGGCCAUCUGGACGGUAACUGACGCUGAUGCGCGAAAGCGUGGGGAGCAAACGGG
rnacentral:rRNA from 1 species